rnacentral:rRNA from 1 species
UACGGAGGGUGCGAGCGUUGUCCGGAAUCACUGGGCGUAAAGGGCGCGUAGGUGGCCUGUGGAAGUCUGCGGUGAAAGCCCGGCGCUCAACGCCGGGUCGGCCGUGGAUACUCUCGGGCUUGAGCUUACUAGAGGCAGAUGGAAUUCCGGGUGUAGCGGUGGAAUGCGUAGAGAUCCGGAAGAACACCGGUGGCGAAGGCGGUCUGCUGGGGUAAUGCUGACACUGAUGCGCGACAGCGUGGGGAGCGAUCCGG